UCACACCUACGGGCGCAGCAGUGAGGAAUAUUGGUCAAUGGUCGGGAGACUGAACCAGCCAAGCCGCGUGAGGGAUGAAGGUACAGAGUAUCGUAAACCUCUUUUGUCAGGGAACAAAGGCGGGGACGUGUCCCCGGAUGAGUGUACCUGAAGAAGAAGCAUCGGCUAACUCCGUGCCAGCAGCCGCGGUAAUACGGAGGAUGCGAGCGUUAUCCGGAUUUAUUGGGUUUAAAGGGUGCGCAGGCGGUCUGGUAAGUCAGCGGUCAAAGCCCGGGGCUCAAACCCGGCCCACCGUUGAAACUGUG
rnacentral:rRNA from 1 species